GGUUUUUUCAUGAAAUGCCCCCGAGGUUUGUAAAAAUGCACCAAAUACCCUUGCGUGUUUCGAUUCACAUAAUAUACCCCUAUUUUUUCGUACUGUUCAUGACAUGCACUUGGAGUUAACGGACGUUAGUCCAGCGUUAGCUGCAAUUGCCCUUAAUGAUGUUCUUCGACAUAAAUACAAAAAAAUCUCAAACUUCUUCUCUUUCUCUCUCCUCUCCCAUGUUCUUCCUCUUGCUCUCUGGUCGGCGGUGUUCGAUCUCCUUCGCGCGCCACCGCAAUGUUCUUCGGUGUAGAUCGAGAUCCUUCGCGCGCCACCGCAAUGAUCUUCGGUGUUGGCGUUCCCCCGAGUUUUCCAAACCCUAAAAGACUUAUCUUCAAUCACAUCAUCCCUUAAAAUUAGAGGGUUUUAUUAAUUUUCUGCUAAAGGUAGAAAAUGGGUCAAUCUCAAAGUGAUUCGUCUGCAUCCACCAUUGAUGAGACCCCAAAGGAGAAUUCAAAUGCCCCACCUUCUUCCUUGGAAUCUCUAAUUGCAGGUCUAUUUCCUCCAAAUCUUUGUUGGGUUUCGUUUAAUUUUCCAUCUGCUUCUUUAUUAGAAAUUCCAUUGCACUAAGAUUCCAACUUUUCUGACAUUUUGGCUGCUCGGGUUGCAAAUGAGGGUAAGGAAGAAACAAUCCGUGCUGUUGCAUGCCUUGCUAAAAGGUGUCUGAAAUGGAUGGGAAGCAAAGGCCAACAAUGAGAGAAGCUGUUGUAGAGUUGGAGGUGAUCAGUCAACAUAAUCAUAUACCUGUUUUAUUUCAGAAGAAUCUGCCAGAGGUAACUGUGAAGACAUUAUCGAAGAUCAGAAGCCGUCCAAGAGAUUGCCUUUUGCCUCCGUACACAUCUAUAUAAAUGAGCUGGUUUUUAAUUAGUCUGUAAGUUUGUGGUACCUUUAACUGCAUUUUAAGUAUUCUUUUCUGCAGAUUAAGUCAUGUUGGAAUUUGUUCUGCAUCUGUUAUCUGUUCAAAUAUAAGCAGCUUCCAGUUACAAUCUUACCAGA